rnacentral:rRNA from 1 species
UACGUAGGGACCAAGCGUUGUUCGGAUUUACUGGGCGUAAAGGGCGCGUAGGCGGCGCGGUAAGUCACUUGUGAAAUCUCUGAGCUUAACUCAGAACGGCCAAGUGAUACUGCAGUGCUAGAGUGUGGAAGGGGCAAUCGGAAUUCUUGGUGUAGCGGUGAAAUGCGUAGAUAUCGGGAAGAACAUCAGUGGCGAAGGCGGCCUGCUGGGCUGUUGCUGACGCUGAGGCGCGACAGCGUGGGGAGCAAACAGG